rnacentral:rRNA from 1 species
UGAGUAACGCGUGGGUAACCUGCCUUAUACAGGGGGAUAACAGUCAGAAAUGGCUGCUAAUACCGCAUAAGCGCACAGAGCUGCAUGGCUCAGUGUGAAAAACUCCGGUGGUAUAAGAUGGACCCGCGUUGGAUUAGCUAGUUGGUGGGGUAACGGCCCACCAAGGCGACGAUCCAUAGCCGGCCUGAGAGGGUGAACGGCCACAUUGGGACUGAGACACGGCCCAGACUCCUACGGGAGGCAGCAUG